rnacentral:rRNA from 1 species
UACGGAGGGUGCAAGCGUUAUCCGGAUUUACUGGGUUUAAAGGGUGCGUAGGUGGGUUGGUAAGUCAGUGGUGAAAUACUUUCGCUUAACGAAGGAACUGCCAUUGAUACUACCAGUCUUGAAUACAGUGGAGGUAGGCGGAAUGCGUCAUGUAGCGGUGAAAUGCUUAGAUAUGACGCAGAACACCAAUUGCGAAGGCAGCUUGCUACACUGUUAUUGACACUGAGGCACGAAAAGCGUGGGGGAUCAAAACAGGG